rnacentral:rRNA from 1 species
AGAGUUUGAUCAUGGCUCAGAUUGAACGCUGGCGGCGUGCUUAACACAUGCAAGUCGAGCGGUAACAGGCGUAGCAAUACGUGCUGACGAGCGGCGAACGGGUGAGCAAUGCUUCGGAAUCUUCCUCGUAGUGGGGAAUAACCUGGGGAAACUCAGGCUAAUACCGCAUACGAACUACGGUUGAAAGCAGGGGAUCGCAAGACCUUGCGCUAUGAGAUGAGCCGAAGUCGGAUUAGCUAGUUGGUGAGGUAACGGCUCACCAAGGCGACGAUCCGUAGCUGGUCUGAGAGGACGACCAGCCACACUGGGACUGAGACACGGCCCAGACUCCUACGGGAGGCAGCAGUGGGGAAUAUUGGACAAUGGGCGCAAGCCUGAUCCAGCGACGCCGCGUGUGUGAAGAAGGCCUGCGGGUUGUAAAGCACUUUUAGUGGGGAUGAAAAGCCGAAGGCUAAUACCUUUCGGUCUUGACCUAACCCAAAGAAAAAGCACCGGCUAACUCUGUGCCAGCAGCCGCGGUAAUACAGAGGGUGCAAGCGUUAAUCGGAAUUACUGGGCGUAAAGCGUGCGUAGUCGGUCAUUCAAGUCGGGUGUGAAAGCCCCGGGCUCAACCUGGGAAUUGCAUUCGAUACUGUUUGGCUAGAGUUCGGCAGAGGGAAGCGGAAUUUCCGGUGUAGCGGUGAAAUGCGUAGAUAUCGGAAGGAACAUCAGUGGCGAAAGCGGCUUCCUGGACCAGAACUGACGAUCAGGCACGAAAGCGUGGGGAGCAAACAGGAUUAGAUACCCUAGUAGUCC